UACGGAGGGGGCUAGCGUUGUUCGGAAUUACUGGGCGUAAAGCGCGCGUAGGCGGACCUGCAAGUCGGGGGUGAAAGCCCGAGGCUCAACCUCGGAACUGCCUUCGAUACUGCGGGUCUCGAGUCCGGGAGAGGUGAGUGGAAUUCCAGGUGUAGCAGUGAAAUGCGUAGAUAUCUGGAGGAACACCGAUGGCGAAGGCAGCCUCCUGGGCUAGUACUGACGCUCAUGCACGAAAGCGUGGGGAGCAAACAGG
rnacentral:rRNA from 1 species